rnacentral:rRNA from 1 species
UACGUAGGGUGCGAGCGUUAGUCGGAAUUACUGGGCGUAAAGCGUGCGCAGGCGGUUCGUUGUGUCGGCGGUGAAAUCCCCGGGCUCAACCUGGGAAUUGCAGUCGAGACUGCUCGGCUAGAGUGUGGGAGAGGGUGGUGGAAUUCCCGGUGUAGCGGUGAAAUGCGUAGAUAUCGGGAGGAACAUCAGUGGCGAAGGCGACCACCUGGCCCAACACUGACGCUGAGGUGCGAAAGCGUGGGUAGCAAACAGG